AAUGAACGCUGGCGGCGCGCUUAAUACAUGCAAGUCGAGCGAGAAGACGUAGCAAUACGUUUGUAAAGCGGCGAACGGGUGAGGAAUACAUGGGUAACCUACCCUAGAGUGGGGAAUAACUAGCCGAAAGGUUAGCUAAUACCGCGUACGCUCCUUGGACUUCGGUUCAGGGAGGAAAGCGAUGCCGAGGGUAUCGCGCUCUUGGAUGGGCUCAUGUCCUAUCAGCUUGUUGGNGAGGUAACGGCUCACCAAGGCUUCGACGGGUAGCUGGUCUGAGAGGACGAUCA
rnacentral:rRNA from 1 species